UACAGAGGGGGCAAGCGUUGUCCGGAUUUACUGGGCGUACAGCGCGCGCAGGCGGAACUGGACGUGCCGUGUGACAAGCCACCGCUCACCGGUGGAGGGCCACGGUACACGACAGUUCUGGAGGCAGGGAGAGGGAUGUGGAAUGCCCGGUGGAGCGGUGAAAUGCGUAGAUAUCAGGAGGAACACCGGUGGUGUAGACGGCUUUCUGGACCGUAACUGACGCUGAGACACGAAAGCGUGGGUAGCAAACAGG
rnacentral:rRNA from 1 species